CGUGUAGGCGGCCAAACAGGUCCGUUGUGAAAACUGGAGGCUCAACCUCCAGACGUCGACGGAAACCGUAUGGCUAGAGUCCGGAAGAGGAGAGUGGAAUUCCUGGUGUAGCGGUGAAAUGCGCAGAUAUCAGGAAGAACACCUAUGGCGAAGGCAGCUCUCUGGGACGGUGCUGACGCUGAGACGCGAAAGCGUGGGGAGCGAACA
rnacentral:rRNA from 1 species